AGAGCAGGGCUCAGAGUUGAGGAGCUGCUGGGAAUGGUGUACAUGGCAGGCGGCCUGAAACAGGGCCAGCAUCUGUCCUAGAUAAGGCGGCGGGUGGCCUACUUGAGCCGGUGCUGGAGCUCCCCGGUGGGCACCUCUCCCAGGCUCUGGGGAUCCUGAGAAGUUUCCUGGAAAGCAGGCUCCUCAACUUUCUGUGUGAUGGACAUAUGACAACUGAGGGGAAAUGUCCCUCCCAGGGCUCAAUUUCUCCAGCUGUAAAAUGGGACUGCGAAAUGGGCCAACCUGCAGGCAGGCUAUCAGGCAGAAGCAACGAGAGCUUAUUAAACUGCUUCGAAAGUAAAAGGCAAGGUGCGUAGUUUGAUGGAGUCAAAAUUUGGACCUCAGGUGAUACUAUGCCUGUUUCCCCAUCCGUCCACUAAGUGGCAGGGAGGGGGUACCACUGUCUACCUCCCACGCGUGUGGUGAGGAUCUCCUGAGGUGAAACUUACAAUAAGCUCAGCACCGGGCCUGGUUAUGUAGUUAGUGCUCCACAUAUGUCAGCUGUGAUGCCAAAAAUCUGCCACUGCCAACAGCAAGAACUGGGGCAAAAACACUCUGGAGUGUCACUUCACAUCUUUUAGCCUCAAUUUCCUCUGUAAGUUGGGAGUAUAAUGAUAGUGCCUGCUAUAUCCGUUUUUUCAUCUGUAAAAUGGGGGCGAUAAUACCUAUCUAAUAC
ensembl:lncRNA